rnacentral:rRNA from 1 species
UACGGAGGGGGCAAGCGUUGUUCGGAGUUACUGGGCGUAAAGCGCGCGUAGGCGGUGCGGUAAGUCAGGGGUUAAAGGCUGCAGCUCAACUGCAGUAAGGCCUUUGAUACUAUCGUGCUAGAGUGUCAGAGAGGAUGGCGGAAUUCCCGGUGUAGCGGUGGAAUCCUGUAAUCCUGGGAGGACCACCGGUGGCGAAGGCGCUCGGCUGGAACGGGUCCGACGGUGAGGGACGAAGGCCAGGGGAGCGAACCGG